GGGCAUGCGCGCUACACAUGCAGUCGAGCGGUAACAGGUCCAGCUUGCUGGACGCUGACGAGCGGCGGACGGGUGAGUAACGCAUAGGAAUCUACCCGGUAGUGGGGGAUAACCUGGGGAAACCCAGGCUAAUACCGCAUACGUCCUACGGGAGAAAGGGGGCUUCGGCUCCCGCUAUUGGAUGAGCCUAUGCCGGAUUAGCUGGUUGGUGAGGUAAUGGCUCACCAAGGCGACGAUCCGUAGCUGGUCUGAGAGGAUGAUCAGCCACAUCGGGACUGAGACACGGCCCGAACUCCUACGGGAGGCAGCAGUGGGGAAUAUUGGACAAUGGGGGCAACCCUGAUCCAGCCAUGCCGCGUGUGUGAAGAAGGCCCUCGGGUUGUAAAGCACUUUCAGCGAGGAAGAACGCCUGUCGGUUAAUACCCGGCAGGAAAGACAUCACUCGCAGAAGAAGCACCGGCUAACUCCGUGCCAGCAGCCGCGGUAAUACGGAGGGUGCAAGCGUUAAUCGGAAUUACUGGGCGUAAAGCGCGCGUAGGUGGCUUGAUAAGCCGGUUGUGAAAGCCCCGGGCUCAACCUGGGAACGGCAUCCGGAACUAUUAGGCUAGAGUGCAGGAGAGGAAGGUAGAAUUCCCGGUGUAGCGGUGAAAUGCGUAGAGAUCGGGAGGAAUACCAGUGGCGAAGGCGGCCUUCUGGACUGACACUGACACUGAGGUGCGAAAGCGUGGGUAGCAAACAGGAUUAGAUACCCUGGUAGUCCACGCCGUAAACGAUGUCGACCAGCCGUUGGGUGCCUAGCGCACUUUGUUGGCGAAGUUAACGCGAUAAGUCGACCGCCUGGGGGAGUACGGCCGCAAGGUUAAAACUCAAAUGAAUUGACGGGGGCCCGCACAAGCGGUGGAGCAUGUGGUUUAAUUCGAUGCAACGCGAAGAACCUUACCUACCCUUGACAUCCUGCGAACUUGUGAGAGAUCACUUGGUGCCUUCGGGAGCGCAGAGACAGGUGCUGCAUGGCUGUCGUCAGCUCGUGUUGUGAAAUGUUUGGGUUAAGUCCCGUAACGAGCGCAACCCUUGUCCCUAUUUGCCACCGAUUCGGUCGGGAACUCUUAGGGAGACUGCCGGUGACAAACCGGAGGAAAGGUGGGGACGAAAUCAAAUCUUCCUUGGCCCUUUCCGGGUAGGGGUCACACCCUGCUUCAAAGGCCGGGCAAAAAGGGGUGGGAACUUCCCGAGAAUAACCGAAUCCCUUUAAAACGGGUCCCUUCCCGGAAGGAGAAUUGCCACCCCCACCCCUUCGAAUCCGAAACCCCUUUUAUACUUGGUUCUAAAUGGAGGCAGGGAGAAAAUUUCCCCGGCGCUGGUUAAACCACCCGU
rnacentral:rRNA from 1 species